AACCAAGCAAAGGAAAAACUCCGUUCUGAGGUUGCAGGCGAGUGAGCUGCUGCUUGCAUUGUUCAGUGUGGUGCAGACCACCCAAGUGACCCGCUAGAGACAUUAUACAACCCGCAAAAUAAAACCUGCCUUCACAAUCCAGGGAAAGGAAAGGAGGAGAGAAGCCCUGUCUCGCCAGGCUGUGCUUACCCGUUGUCUCUGGGCAGUCGUGUGAGAGUGAGCCCAUCGAUGUGCACCCUCCUCCUCCUCCACUCCAGAUGCAGGAAGCGACUCGUGUAGAGCUCCAGCAGGAGGCUGUUGAACUCUCCGUCCCUGUCCGCCGGCACCAGGAACUGGUACACCUUCCCGGGGGUCACCAUGCAGGAAAGGGUUAAACCCCCACCCAGGAUUGAAAACAGUGAAUUUUAACUGUUGAGCCCAAACUGAGUUUCUACACCUGUGAUGGACUGGCCUCAAAGACCAGCUGCAAUGGAUCAACACGACACAACACAAUUCAAUUCACAUGUCUACUGCAGCUUUCAUCACAAGGAUACCAAAGUGCUUCACACACACUCAAAAAUUACAUUAAAACAGUCUAGUACAAAAUUUAAUAAAACAGAUAUUUUAAAAAAUAUAACAGUUAAAACUAUUUUUUUAAUAAAAUUGGAAUUAAAAAAGAAUAACAAGAAAAUGCCGUUUUGUAAAAAUUGGAAAACUAUUUCCCAGAAUGCUCUGCACCCCCCCCCCCCCCCCCUCUCCUCUCGGGAGCGACCCGCUGAGAAAAACACAGCGUCUGGCCUUUUAAAUUAAGAUUAAACACACAGAGGUAUCAUCCUGUAUUAUACCAUUUCUUGUUUUUUUUAUAAAUGAUCUACAUUACUUUUUAAAGAAAGAUUAAAAAGGCAUUUGUAUUAUUUGAAUGUACAUUUAUCCACAGCAUUGCAUUUGAAAUAUCUGAAUAUCUUGAAUUAAUAUCAUGAAUUCACGUUAAACAGGGACCAGAAUUGAGACCCCUUGCAACAAUACAGUGUUAAAAGUGUAUCCAGAUAUCCAAAUGUUGAAAGUACUGCAUUGUCAAAAGUCAAGCACAGAUGUCAGCCUACCUACAGUGCAGAGAUACUGAAUAUGAAUCGAUUCAGCCUUUUCCUUAUACAUUUAAAUGUAGCAAAUGUAAAAAAUAAACACAGAAAACACUCUGAAAGUGAAUCAUUUGCUACCUGCUGCAGCUCCAAG